UACGGAGGGGGCGAGCGUUGUCCGAAGUUACUGGGCGUAAAGCGCGCGUAGGCGGGUUGGUAAGUCCGCUGUGAAAGCCCGGAGCUUAACUCCGGAGGGUCGGUGGAUACUGGCCAGUCUUGAAGGUGCUAGGGGGAGAUGGAAUUACCGGUGUAGCGGUGAAAUGCGUAGAGAUCGGUAGGAACACCAGUGGCGAAGGCGGUCUCCUGGGGCAUUCUUGACGCUGAGGCGCGAAAGCGUGGGGAGCAAACAGG
rnacentral:rRNA from 1 species